AUGCGAAGAUCCCAGCAGAGUGGCGAGUACUCUUGUUGUUGAGGCCACUCUAACAAUGUAUUUCAAUACCCUUCGCAGAGUUAUUAGCCGAAUCGUAGGAUGCCCAAAUUAGUGUUUGAUUUUUGGUGCAUCUAGAACCCUCGGCUAUAUUCCA